rnacentral:tRNA from 1 species
UGGGGUAUAGCUCUAUGGUAGAGCACUUACCUAGCAUGUGUGAGUCCCUAGGUUCAAGACCAGUACCACAA